CUAUGAAGUCUCUGUUUGUGGUGCAAUGCUGUUCCUAAGCACGUUCCUGAGAAUGCAGCUUUAUUCUGCUCACUCACGUUAGCAGCCGGAGCAGUGUUGUUUCAGCUUGGAGUUCCUUAAGGCCCUUGCUUCGUGUUGGCGAAGGGGGAAGAAUGGGAGUAACAUGGCUACGAUUAUGCGGACACCUCUGACAGAGCUAGACCAGUUACAAGGUGACUGGCAGACUCUUCGAGGGGCCUGAGGAAGGCAGCUGCUGACAGCAGGGGUUCCCUCUCCCUGCCACAAUUCCCAUCCCUCCUGAAGCUCUGUCGCUUGCUGCUAGCUCUCUGCUGAUGCAUCUCCGCUGUAGGCUCCUCCACGUGCAAGCAGCUACAGCUUCAGGGAGCUCCGGGAAGCUUUGCUCCCUUGCAAUAGCUAAGGAUCUGGCCCACAA